rnacentral:rRNA from 1 species
GACGAACGCUGGCGGCGUGCUUAACACAUGCAAGUCGAACGGAAAGGCCCCUUUGGGGGUACUCGAGUGGCGAACGGGUGAGUAACACGUGAGUAACCUGCCCUUGACUUCGGGAUAACUUCAGGAAACUGGGGCUAAUACCGGAUAGGAAUCCUUGCUGUAUGGUGGGGGUUGGAAAGCUUCGGCGGUUUUGGAUGGACUCGCGGCUUAUCAGCUUGUUGGUGGGGUAGUGGCUUACCAAGGCUUUGACGGGUAGCCGGCCUGAGAGGGCGACCGGCCACAUUGGGACUGAGAUACGGCCCAGACUCCUACGGGAGGCAGCAGUGGGGAAUAUUGCACAAUGGGCGGAAGCCUGAUGCAGCAACGCCGCGUGCGGGAUGACGGCCUUCGGGUUGUAAACCGCUUUCAGCAGGGGCGAAGCUUGUGGUGACGGUACCUGCAGAAGAAGCACCGGCUAACUACGUG